GAUGAACGCUGGCGGCGUGCCUAAUACAUGCAAGUCGAGCGAACAGACGCGGAGCUUGCUCCUCUGACGUUAGCGGCGGACGGGUGAGUAACACGUGGAUAACCUACCUAUAAGACUGGGAUAACUUCGGGAAACCGGAGCUAAUACCGGAUAAUAUAUUGAACCGCAUGGUUCAAUAGUGAAAGACGGUUUUGCUGUCACUUCUAGAUGGAUCCGCGCCGCAUUAGCUGGUUGGUAAGGUAACGGCUUACCAAGGCGACGAUGCGUAGCCGACCUGAGAGGGUGAUCGGCCACACUGGAACUGAGACACGGUCCAGACUCCUACGGGAGGCAGCAGUAGGGAAUCUUCCGCAAUGGGCGAAAGCCUGGCGGAGCAACGCCGCGUGAGUGAUGAAGGUCUUCGGAGCGUAAAACUCUGUUAUUAGGGAAGAACAAAUGUGUAAGUAACUAUGCACGUCUUGACGGUACCUAAUCAGAAAGCCACGGCUAACUACGUG
rnacentral:rRNA from 1 species